GAUGAACGCUGGCGGCGUGCUUAACACAUGCAAGUCGAACGGAAAGGCUCCUGCUUGCAGGGGUACUCGAGUGGCGAACGGGUGAGUAACACGUGGGUGAUCUGCCCUGCACUUCGGGAUAAGCCUGGGAAACUGGGUCUAAUACCGGAUAGGACGAUGGUUUGGAUGCCAUUGUGGAAAGUUUUUUCGGUGUGGGAUGAGCUCGCGGCCUAUCAGCUUGUUGGUGGGGUAAUGGCCUACCAAGGCGUCGACGGGUAGCCGGCCUGAGAGGGUGUACGGCCACAUUGGGACUGAGAUACGGCCCAGACUCCUACGGGAGGCAGCAGUGGGGAAUAUGGCACAAUGGGCGCAAGCCUGAUGCAGCGACGCCGCGUGGGGGAUGACGGCCUUCGGGUUGUAAACUCCUUUCGCUAGGGACGAAGCGCAAGUGACGGUACCUGGAGAAGAAGCACCGGCUAACUACGU
rnacentral:rRNA from 1 species